AGCGGCGGACGGGUGAGUAACGCGUGGGUAACCUGCCUCAUACAGGGGGAUAACAGUUGGAAACGGCUGCUAAUACCGCAUAAGCGCACAGUACCGCAUGGUACGUGUGAAAAACUCCGGUGGUAUGAGAUGGACCCGCGUCUGAUUAGCUAGUUGGUGGGGUAACGGCCUACCAAGGCGGCGAUCAGUAGCCGACCUGAGAGGGUGACCGGCCACAUUGGGACUGAGACACGGCCCAA
rnacentral:rRNA from 1 species